UUUGCAGGCCCGGCACAGUCUCAGUUCCCCACAGCACAGAGAGGAAGCAAGGUCUUUGCAUGCCCUGUUCACUUGGCCAAACUUUGCCCUAGAUGUGCAAUUCAACCCGUAUAAAGCAAGCGUAAUUCAAGAGCCCUGACUCUUUCACCAUUUCAUGAUGGCUUAUUACUCGUACACGGCAUUGUCAGGUUCCAGCAACUCUGUGUGCAGCAGGCAGAAAUGCAGUGUUUAUCUCUGACAGGCAAACAUUCUUAGGUUCAUCGGCAUGAGUAUCCACGCUGAACUGGCUAUCGGGGAAGUAGAUCCCUGCAUGGGAAAGUCAAGUAUCCCCACUGUGUAGAGCUGGUCCACAAUGGAGAGGAGGAAAAGUUUUGCGUUGGACCAAAUCACUGCCUUAGAAGGAAAGAGAUUGCAAUCCCAUUCAUUUUUAAGAUCUGCAAUGGGUUGGGAUGAUACCCAUUUAAAAAAGAAAAAAAAGAGGUUACCUCUUUGGCCUCUUUGGCAAAGGAUAUGAACUAGUAAUAAAGCCUCAGCAUCAAGGCUUGGGAGUCUGGCUCAAAGUGGCUAAGACUAGAAGCAUCUUCUAACAUAAAUAUGGCAGCAUUAGGAAAAUAGCUUGGCCUUUAGAGAGACCCAGAUUAUCUUCACCUUAAAAACUACCAAGACCCUGGUCCAGCAAGACCACCAUCACAGCAGUAAAUACAUAGCCACCAACUUCACAGAAGGUUUUCCACUGAGACAUUGUGAAAACCACAAUCCAUUACCGGUGGAUGAGUCCCAGCUCUCUUACUACCUGGGGUUUCCAAGCAAGACUUACCUGUCCUUUGUUCCGGAUUGGUUCCUGGGAUCCUGGACCAAAACAAAGAGAAGAGGAAAGCCUCAAGGGAAAUAAAAGUGAAGGCUUCAGUGAUAGUUUAAAUAUAUAUUUUUAAAUGUUAGCUUUUUUUUAAAUACUUCACGGUGAUGGAUGGAGUAUUUCAACCACAGUGGCAAAGAAUGAAUUACCGGCAGUGUCAGAGUUUCUUGUUGCUGUGGGAAGACAGCUGCCAUGUUGAGAGGUGCCUUGUGGAGAGGCUUAUGUGGCGAGGAACUGAGACUGGCUUCUAUCCAACAACCAGUGAGGAACUAAGGCCCUAAAGUCCUAUAGUCCACAAGGAACUAAAUCCUACCAACAACUACAUGAGUGAGCCUGGAAUCUGAUUUUCCCCAGUGGGGACUUAAGGUACCUACAACCUGGCUGUUAUGGGCUAAACUGCAUCCUGCCCAAAUUUAUAUGUUUGAGUCUUAACUCCCAGCACUUCAGAACAUGGUUUUGUUUGGAGACAUAGUCAUUAAAGAGGUAGUGAAGUUAAAAUGAGGUCAUUAGGAUGAGUCCUAAUCCAAUAGGACUGGUGUUCUUAUAUGAAGAGGAAAUUUGAACACAGACACAUAUACAGGAAAGACCAUGCGAAGAAGACACAGAGAGGAAACGGCCAUCUACAAUCCAAGGAGAGAGGCCUCAGAACAAGCCAACCCUGCAGAUACCUUGAUCUAGGCAUCCAGAAUUGUAUGAAAAUACAUUUUUGUUAUUUAAGCUACCCAGUCUGUGGUGCUUUGUUAUGGCAAUCCCAGAAAACUAAUUAACUAAUUGACUGCAGCCUUGCAAGGGACCCUGAACCAGAGGACCCAGUUAAGCCAUGUUCAGAUUCCUGACUCACGGAACUAGGAGAUAACAAAUGUUUGUUGCUCUAAGGUGCUAAAUGUUGGGAAAAUAUGUUAUAUAGCUAUGUUGUUUUGCACAUGUGCCACAUAAUGAUGUUUUGGUCAACAACAGACCACAUAUAUGAUGGUGGGCCCAUAAGAUUGUAAUACUGUGUUUCUAUUAUGCAUUCUCUAUUUAUAGAUACACAAAUACUUGCCAUUGUGUUACAAUUGCCUACUGUCUUCAGUACUGUAACAUGCUGUACAGGUUUGUAGCCCAGAAGCAAUAGACUAUACCAUACAGUCUGGGUGUGUAGUAGGCUAUACCAUUUAUGUUUGCGAAGUACACUCUAUGAUGUUCACAUAAUUAUGAAGUUGCCUAGUGAUGCAUUUCUCAGAAUGCAUACCCGACAUUAAGUGACACUUGGCUUUAUGUCUAUCAUGCAUUUAAGAUAUUGCAAUAUAGUUAACUUAUGUUUUAAUACACCUAUUAAUUCUGUUUUGAUCCCACACCAACCAAGGUGCAAAACUAACUUUUUCGCCCAUUUCCAUAAAAAACACAAUUACAAUGGG